CAUUUAAUCUUAAUUUAACAGCUGUGAACUGGUUUUUCAUUCUCUAAUCUCCGCCUCAAACACCUAUUUCCGGUGCCGGAAAUUGCCUACGGUGGCGGAUGAACUCCAAAACACCCUAAAUUCUCACCUUAUAGUCCCCUCACCUUCCUCAUUCCCAAUAUUCGAUCCAUAUUUCCUAAAAACCGCUCAAACUCGUCGUGUAGUAAAUUUAAGAAUUCCAGAAAAUUUUAAUUUAUCCCUUUUUGAUUUCUCAUCAAUUUUGGCCCGUUUGAACUUGAAUCCUACGUUAAUUGAUUGCUCUUGAUGAGAGCAAUCGAUUGACCUUUAUUUUGAUUCAUUUUAUGGCCAUCGGAAUCCGGUCAAACCCCAUUGACGAGUCAGUUCCCUCUACAAGUUGCUCCGCUCUUUUCCUCCGUUUAGCUGGAAUCCCUUUUUAACGAUCCAAUGAACCCUGAAGGCCCAGUGGCUAGUCUCUUGUAAAUCAGGAUCGUGUUUGAAGGGAGGAAGGCAUGCGAAUCGGAAGUGGUUACUCUCGCGAAGGUUAAUGUGAUGGAGAGAAUAGAAUUAGCCUUAGACUAAUGAAAUUUGUAAUUCAUGUUAUAUUUCAACCUGAGUGUACAUUUAUUGUUCUCGUUAGCCAUGUACUUCAUAAAAUUGACAAAAUUGACUGAUCAUGAACUGUAUUCAUUUUUGCUUGUAUUCAUUUUUAAAGUUGAUGGAUCUACCCUAGAUGCCUAGGGUAAAAAUUGCACGGGGCUUCCUAUUUGGUCGCCCCCAUUUAACCUA